UGGGGAAUUUUGGACAAUGGGCGAAAGCCUGAUCCAGCAAUGCCGCGUGUGUGAAGAAGGCCUUCGGGUUGUAAAGCACUUUUGUCCGGAAAGAAAUCCUUGGCUCUAAUACAGUCGGGGGAUGACGGUACCGGAAGAAUAAGCACCGGCUAACUACGUGCCAGCAGCCGCGGUAAUACGUAGGGUGCAAGCGUUAAUCGGAAUUACUGGGCGUAAAGCGUGCACAGGCGGUUUGCUAAGACCGAUGUGAAAUCCCCGGGCUCAACCUGGGAACUGCAUUGGUGACUGGCAGGCUAGAGUAUGGCAGAGGGGGGUAGAAUUCCACGUGUAGCAGUGAAAUGCGUAGAGAUGUGGAGGAAUACCGAUGGCGAAGGCAGCCCCCUGGGCCAAUACUGACGCUCAUGCACGAAAGCGUGGGGAGCAAACAGGAUUAGAUACCCUGGUAGUCCACGCCCUAAACGAUGUCAACUAGUUGUUGGGGAUUCAUUUCCUUAGUAACGUAGCUAACGCGUGAAGUUGACCGCCUGGGGAGUACGGUCGCAAGAUUAAAACUUAAAUGAAUUGACGGGGUCAUAGCUGUUUCCU
rnacentral:rRNA from 1 species